rnacentral:rRNA from 7 species
ACGAACGCUGGCGGCGUGCUUAACACAUGCAAGUCGAACGGUGAAGCCCUUCGGGGUGGAUCAGUGGCGAACGGGUGAGUAACACGUGGGUAAUCUGCCCUGCAUUCUGGGACAAGCCUUGGAAACGAGGUCUAAUACCGGAUACGACGCAUCUCCGCAUGGGGUGUGCGUGGAAAGCUCCGGCGAUGCAGGAUGAACCCGCGGCCUAUCAGCUUGUUGGUGGGGUGAUGGCCUACCAAGGCGACGACGGGUAGCCG